rnacentral:rRNA from 1 species
UGGGGAAUUUUGGACAAUGGGCGAAGCCUGAUCCAGCAAUGCCGCGUGUGUGAAGAAGGCCUUCGGGUUGUAAAGCAUCUUUUGUCCGGAAAGAAAUCCUCUGGGUUAAUACCUCGGGGGGAUCGACGGUACCGGAAGAAUAAGCACCGGCUAACUACGUGCAGCAGCCGCGGUAAUACGUAGGGUGCAAGCGUUAAUCGGAAUUACUGGGCGUAAAGCGUGCGCAGGCGGUUUUGUAAGACGGAUGUGAAAUCCCCGGGCUUAACCUGGGAACUCAUUCGUGACUGCAAGGCUAGAGUAUGGCAGAGGGGGGUAGAAUUCCACGUGUANCAGUGAAAUGCGUAAGAGAUGUGGAGGAAAUAACCGAUGGCGAAGGCAGCCCCCUGGGCCAAAUACUGACGCUCAUGCACGAAAAGCGUGGGGGAGCAAAAC